AUUGAACGCUGGCGGCAGGCUUAACACAUGCAUGUCGAGCGGGGGAAGGUAGCUUGCUACCGGACCUAGCGGCGGACGGGUGAGUAAUGCUUAGGAAUCUGCCUAUUAGUGGGGGACAACAUCUCGAAAGGGAUGCUAAUACCGCAUACGUCCUACGGGAGAAAGCAGGGGAUCUUCGGACCUUGCGCUAAUAGAUGAGCCUAAGUCGGAUUAGCUAGUUGGUGGGGUAAAGGCCUACCAAGGCGACGAUCUGUAGCGGGUCUGAGAGGAUGAUACGGCAAACUGGGACUGAGACACGGCACAGACUCCAACGGGAGGCAGCAGUGGGGAAAAUUUGACAAUGGGGGGAACCCUGAUCCAGCCAUGCAGCGUGUGUGAAGAUGACCUUAUGGUUGUAAAGCACUUUAAGCGAGGAGGAGGCUACUCUAGUUAAUACCUAGGGAUAGUGGACGUUACUCGCAGAAUAAGCACCGGCUAACUCUGUGCCAGCCGCCGCCGUAA
rnacentral:rRNA from 1 species